UCAUCCUACGGGGGGCAGCAGUAGGGAAUUUUCGUCAAUGGGCGAGAGCCUGAACCAGCCAAGUCGCGUGAAGGAUGACGGCCCUACGGGUUGUAAACUUCUUUUGUCAGGGAGCAAUUGAGUCCACGUGUGGGCUUAGCGAGAGUACCUGAAGAAAAAGCAUCGGCUAACUCCGUGCCAGCAGCCGCGGUAAUACGGAGGAUGCGAGCGUUAUCCGGAUUUAUUGGGUUUAAAGGGUGCGUAGGCGGAAUAUCAAGUCAGCGGUAAAAAUUCGGGGCUCAACCCCGUC
rnacentral:rRNA from 1 species